GCGAGUCAUUGUAGCAAUACAAGGCAGACGGCUCAGUAACGCGUAGUCAAUCUACCCUAUGGACGGGAAUAACCUCGGGAAACUGAGAAUAAUGCCCGACAGAACAUUAUACCUGGAACGGUUUAUGUUUCAAAUGAUUUAUCGCCGUAGGAUGGGACUGCGGCCUAUCAGUUUGUUGGUGAGGUAAUGGCCCACCAAGACUAUUACAGGUACGGGCUCUGAGAGGAGUAGCCCGGAGAUGGGUACUGAGACACGGGCCCAGGCCCUAUGGGGCGCAGCAGGCGAGAAAACUUUGCAAUGUGCGAAAGCACGACAAGGUUAAUCCGAGUGGUUUCUGCUAAAGAAACCUUUUGCUAGUCCUAGAAACACUAGUGAAUAAGGGGUGGGCAAGUUCUGGUGUCAGCCGCCGCGGUAAAACCAGCACCUCAAGUGGUCAGGAUGAUUAUUGGGCCUAAAGCAUCCGUAGCUCGUUUUGUAAGUUUUCGGUUAAAUCCAUACGCUUAACGUAUGGGCUGCCGGGAAUACUGCAUAACUAGGAAGUGGGAGAGGUAGACGGUACUCGGUAGGAAGGGGUAAAAUCCUUUGAUCUAUUGAUGACCACCUGUGGCGAAGGCGGUCUACCAGAACACGUUCGACGGUGAGGGAUGAAAGCUGGGGGAGCAAACCGGAUUAGAUACCCGGGUAGUCCCAGCUGUAAACUAUGCAAACUCAGUGAUGCAUUGGCUUGUGGCCAAUGCAGUGCUGCAGGGAAGCCGUUAAGUUUGCCGCCUGGGAAGUACGUACGCAAGUAUGAAACUUAAAGGAAUUGGCGGGGGAGCACCACAAGGGGUGAAGCCUGCGGU
rnacentral:rRNA from 1 species